UGUGUUUCUUCACAGGGAUCCAUCCAUCUAUCCAUCCAUCCACUAUACUUACUUAUUCUGGUGCUUGGAGCCCUGGAGGUGUGCAUGGUACUGCUCGAUGGAGUUGAGGACCACACUGCAGACACUGCAAGAGUAACUACUGCGCAGCCCUGGAGAGACGUAAACACACAACCGCACAGGUUUGGUGCAAGUGGCGCUCAGCUGGAAAAAGGAACGUUUACAUACUUCUCUGUAGCUAUCUGACAGUUGAUGAAAAAUGUCAAGGGCAGACCACCUGGCUGUUCCAUGCCUGGUCAGAGGAAAAUCUUCCCGUCUUCAUCAAUGAGGUGCAGUGUGCGGAGCGUGCUCUGUCCCACUCACAUAUCACAGCCAUUAGACAGGCAUGUGUUGGGCUGGUUCCAGGGCAGUCCCUGCUGCUCCACUCACUGAAGUCCCAUUCAAGGUGAUGAAGAGCUGUCUUGAUCCUUCUCUUCACCCUCAUCCCUGACCCCAUCCUUCUGUGAUUGCCUCUGUCUGCAUGUCCGUUUCCUGGGACGCUGUUCUGAUUAUUGUUGCACGCUGGUUACACUUGAUGCCACUUGACAGCUGUAAUUUCUCCUCCCUUCCUGUAUGUGACUGCUGUCAUCCUGUAUAUAUGGGCUUUUCUUUAUAGAACUAAUUGUUUCCAUUGGAUGCAGCACAUUAUACAUUAACCAUGGUGCUGCAAACUAUGAACAUACAGUUACUACUUUGUCCUGUCUGCAAAAUUUCCCAUGCACAGACACAGAAGAACCCAUUAAUAAUGAAGGCUAAAAUCAGUUGAAAUAAACCAGAUAUAAAUUUGAA